UGCCCCUAGGACCAGCAUUCCGAAAUGUCGAUGUCUCUGAGCCCACAUUUAUUUACCCUCUCCCUGUUUGAAGACUUCCACCACAUCCUAUGUUGUUAAGGAUAAGGAAUCUUCAUUUUUAAAAAGCCUGCCGUUUCGGAGGCAAAUCCGAUUCCCAGGUUGGGGAACGAAGAAUGGAGGAGUCAAUGUCAUCCGGUCCGAAAGAAGGCGAGUGAGCAAGCGACAGAAGUAAGCCGGAAGACAGGAAGCGGUGGGCCGCAGCAAAGGAUGAAAUGUGUCAGACACGGUACCGAAGGCCAGAGACGGAAGCACUUCGACGGUUACCUGGAAAUUCAGAGACAGUCCCCCAGAUACCAAGGAACACGAAGAGCCGUCUGUUCUCUGAACAACUGCUACUUGAACUGCUUGAACCUGCUUGAACUGCUUGAACUACUUGAACCUGAACUGCUACAGGUUCGGGAGGGUGAAAACGGCAGUCUGGAGUUCCCAUUCGUGUUGGUUAACCGUGGCAAAAACGCUCAGGGUGAGGGUCAAGGUGUCCCGGAAUUAGGGCUGGACAGCACCUUCAAAACUAGAACGCUUCUCUUGGCUCUGAGGACGCCAGCCUUCUCCUAAUUCAGUAAUCAGCAGGACAACACCUCCCUGCUGAUCCUCCGAUCGGCCAGAAUUCCCCACAGCCUUUUGCCCACGGUACUCCCUCAGACUCCUGCAACUUUUAAGACUGCGGGCCCUAGGGGGACUGCUCGGAGAGUGGCUGUACCUCUGACUCACUCCUGUAGGAAAAGUGACUCCAAUUCUCUGAGUCCUCGUUUGCUUGUGACAACUGUGGACAUCCCCAAAGUGGGUUGGGAUCAAGGAACCGAGCAUUUGCUGUUGGAGCCCUCUGAGGCACCUAAGUCUCCUAUAGAGGAGAAACGAUUUAUUGAUCUGCUUUGCGAAAGUAAUCCUCCACUCUUGCUGUUUUUGAGUGCCUGCCUCUGACCGAAAGGCCCUGAGAGCAGGAGCCACAUCAUGUCUCAAUCGGAAUAGCGUCUAGCCCAGGACCAUUUCGGCACACAGGCUUCAAGGCCUGCUGGGUUGUGAGUUCCAGGGUGGGGAGCGUGUCUCCGAAUAUCACGGUCAUUCCUUAGUGCCAAGCUCUGUGUCUGGCACGGAGUCGUUGUCUGAAUACAUUUGUGAUGAGUAAGUUAAUGAAUGACAAUCACGUGGACAAGGACGAUGGGGGGGACAGUCACAAAGGUUUGGUUUUGUUUUUGCAAGCUGGAAGACGCUCUGUAAGGCAUCGGCAAGAUAUGCAUAGCAUCACCCAGCCUCCCCAAAGCCAUAGUUUCUCUCAGUGGAGGAAAGAGACAAGAGUUUGUCUUCAGUUGAGGUCUUUAUCCUCACCAUCAAGCCCGUGCCAGGAGAAGCUAUCUGUGAUAGAAAAGGGAAUAAGAGACAGCUGCUUGGGUGUGAUACCUGAGUAAGGAGCGGACGGGGAUCUCCUAUGCCUGCCUUCUCACUCCUUCAGCUGGGUCAGCUUGAAUGUCGUCUGCCAACAACUUAUCAAGAAGGACCAUGACUCUCUGGCCUCAGAAGAUCGAAUUCCCCAGCUACACCAUCUCCGCUGGCUCUUCUUCCACUGUCCGGGCCCUCAUUUUCUGGGACCUCGGCUUUAGAACAAAAGUUAAACACCACGUCCUUGAGACUGCCCACGUUACCCUUCUCUCCAAGGGAAGAAUGCAUCUUCCAAUACUGUGCCAUUUUAUCUUUAGAACAACGCUUCGAGGUUAAUGGAGCAGAGGUGAUGCUUGCGUAGAGAAAGGAAGCCACCUGCCCAAAGUAUUUCAAGCUUCCUCAUCCCAGGGCUUUAACCUCUAACACAUCCUGUAUGGCUCAACCAAUAAAAAUCACUCAUCAUCUCCUAAAACUGUCUGA
ensembl:lncRNA